rnacentral:piRNA from 1 species
UGGUGUUGUGGCCAAGAUGGGGUUGCAGGU